GUGAGAAAACAUCUAGGCUGUUGAGAAUAAACAGUUAAAUAUUGAAAGUAUUUCGAAACGGCGGGUUAGCGGAAAAAAAGCGGAGAUGGAGGACUCAGGAGCGAUCCUGUGUCAGAUCUCUUCAAUCAAGGAUAUGCUCGAUCUGGUAAACCAAGAAAUCGAGGUUAAUAUUCAGAUAACCAGAGAGAUCGAAUCGGAUAUCGUCAAAUGUACGGAUAUCGAGGGUGGUUUGAAUGCCAGAGAAUCCGAGUUGACAAAGAUGGUUUAUGUGUCGCAGUUUGAAAUUGAUGGAUUGAACUCUGUUGCUGGUGAAGUGGAUAUGGCGACUAAAAAUCCUAGUUUUACAUCCGUCAUCUCUGGAUCUCCUAUUAUCACAUCGGAAAAAUUGAUUGGUAGUGAGAAUUAUCUCUCCUGGUCAGCGUUCGUGGAACUCUGGUUUAUGGGACAAGGUUAUGAGGAUCAUCUUGUUACACCUGAGGAUGCUAUACCUGAUAUUGACAAAGUGCAAUGGAAGAAAAUCGAUGCACAAUUAUGCAGCGUAUUAUGGCAAUCUGUUGAUCCCAAAAUUUUACAUCAUCUUCGUGCCUACAAAACCUGCUUUAAAUUUUGGACUCAGGCUAAAGGAUUAUACACGAAUGAUAUUCAACGAUUUUAUAAGAUGGUUUCUGAUAUUGUUCAUGUGAGACAGCAGGACAUGGAUCUGUCUACUUAUAUUGGCCGGAUUGCGUCUCUUAAGGAGGAGUUCUUAACUUUGAUGUCCUUCACUAAUGGUGCUAAAGCUCAACAAAUAUAGAUUGACAAGUUCUUUAUGGUGUUAACCCUCAUUGGCCUUCGUCCAGAUCUUGAGUCUGUCCGAGAUCAGAUUCUUGCUAGUCCAUCAGUACCAUCAUUGAAUGAUGUGUUCGCUCGUCUCUUACGCCUCUCCUCUACUCAGACCUUGUCGACUGAUGGUCUUUCAGAUUCAUCUGUGUUAGCCUCUCAAAUUAACUCUCGAGGAGGACGUAGUGGCAAUCGGGGUCGAGGACAACGUCCUCAGUGCACCUAUUGUAAUAAGUUUGGUCACACUCGAGAUCGUUGCUAUCAGUUACAUGGACGGCCUCCUCGUACUACCCACAUUGCUCAGUCAUCUAAUCCUCUGCUAUCUCGACCUGACUCCGCUGCGAGCUCCACAUUUCAGAGUAUCACCCUUACUGGUAGUGAUUAUGAUGCCUAUCUCCGAUAUCAGACAACCACAUCAGCUUUUGUUGCUUCUGUUGCCCAGACCGGGAAGGUUUUACCACGUUUUGCCUAGAUUUUCAAAAGGAUAUUGACAAGGGUGAAAAUGAUGAGCUCAGGACUCUGCUAUCGGACAAAGAGUUUCUUGAAAAUGAGAUUCAUCUCU